UCUAAGAUGGAAGGCGCGGGAUUUGAAAAUGCGUAGUUUCGUUUUUCAAUGUUAGGAAAAAACUUUGUAAUUUACUACUGAUAUAUCUAUAUCUCCUUCUCAGGAUACAUAAUACUCAUUGUUAUUCAUAUAGGCUAAUAAUUGCAUGCACAGUUUAAUGUGAUUAAAGUGUCCUACAGUACAUAAUUUUUCCCAAAAGAAAUCACUGUAUUUAUCGGCACUGCAAAACUAUCCGAGACCAGGUAAUGUAUUAAGCUAACAUUUGUAGCAGAAGGACUCAGCAAGAAAGAAGCAUGAAAGAAAACAUCUGGAAUACCAACGCUAAAAAAGCUGGACAACAUCACGUUAAUAACCCUGCUGAAGAAAAUGGAAGAACUUCUCUGCCUGGGACCAGCACAACCCCGAUUCCUGGUAUCCAGACUGCCAUCACGGCUCAUACUGGAAGCAACGCUGCUGCCCCCCAAAUCUGUCAGUCCCAUAUUACUGGUGAUGUAAAUUUCAACAUCCAUCUCCAAGGUGAUGUGAAUGGAGUGGGGCGUAGCCAGAAGCGGCAAAG